rnacentral:rRNA from 1 species
AGACUUCUACGGGAGGCAGCAGUGGGGAAUCUUGCGCAAUGGGCGAAAGCCUGACGCAGCAACGCCGCGUGCGGGAUGAAGGCCUUCGGGUUGUAAACCGCUUUCAGUGGGGACGAAACAAGACGGUACCCACAGAAGAAGCCCCGGCCAACUACGUGCCAGCAGCCGCGGUAACACGUAGGGGGCAAGCGUUGUCCGGAUUUAUUGGGCGUAAAGAGCUCGUAGGUGGUUCGAUAAGUCGGGUGUGAAACCUCCAGGCUCAACCUGGAGACGCCACCCGAUACUGUCGUGACUAGAGUCCAGUAGGGGAGCGUGGAAUUCCUGGUGUAGCGGUGAAAUGCGCAGAUAUCAGGAGGAACACCAGCGGCGAAGGCGGCGCUCUGGGCUGGCACUGACACUGAGGAGCGAAAGCGUGGGGAGCGAACAGGAUUAGAUACCCCCGUAGUC